AACGCACAUUGCACUCUAUUUCGGUAGAGUAUGCCUGUUUGAGAAUCUAUAGUAUUUAUUUUGCCUUUUUGCUUUUAACAGAGCAACUAUGCAGAGAUCUGAGGCCUGACUACUUUUGAAGUCUGCCUUGAAAUCUAUAGCUGAACUGUGCUUAGAGUGUUUGACUUUUUGCAAAGCAUCAGAAACGUAUUUGAAUGGGAUUAAUUUCUCUUAUAAUGCUUACUACGAUGCAGCAAGAAUUAGCUCAAAAGUGCUUUGCAGUCCAUAACUUUAAAGCCGUAAAACAGCUUGAACCAUGGUCUCAAAUCAGGUAGGAAUACCCGCUGAACUUAA
rnacentral:misc_RNA from 1 species